rnacentral:tRNA from 2 species
GCUAGGUUCGCGUAGCGGCAAUCGCCUCUGGCUGUAGACCAGAUGCCCAUAAGGGCUGCGGAGGUUCGAGUCCUCCACCUAGCACCG